GGGUUGUGAGGUUAAGCGACUAAGCGUACACGGUGGAUGCCCUGGCAGUCAGAGGCGAUGAAGGACGUGCUAAUCUGCGAUAAGCGUCGGUAAGGUGAUAUGAACCGUUAUAACCGGCGAUUUCCGAAUGGGGAAACCCAGUGUGAUUCGUCACACUAUCAUUAACUGAAUCCAUAGGUUAAUGAGGCGAACCGGGGGAACUGAAACAUCUAAGUACCCCGAGGAAAAGAAAUCAACCGAGAUUCCCCCAGUAGCGGCGAGCGGACGGGGAGCAGCCCAGAGCCUGAAUCAGUGUGUGUGUUAGUGGAAGCGUCUGGAAAGGCGUGCGAUACAGGGUGACAGCCCCGUACACAAAAAUGCACAUAUUGUGAGCUUGAUGAGUAGGGCGGGACAC
rnacentral:rRNA from 1 species